GUGCUCACUUCAGCAGCAUAUAUACUAAAAUUGGAAGAAUACAGAGAUCAGCAUGGCCCCUGCACGAGGAUGACACGCAAAUUCAUGAAGCGUUCUGUUUUUUU